GUACAUCAUUUAAAAAAAAAAAAACCUCUACAGAAUCCCACAUUUUCCAUGCAGUCUUGCGAGUCCCUCAUGGCCCAUGAUAUCAUCCUCUCUUAUCAUAGUGGCGGAGUCAAGGUGGUGGUGGGGUGGUGUUUUUUAGCCUUUUUUUUUUUAUUAUUAUUAUAUUUAUAAAAUUUUAUAUUUUAUCACUGGUUUCACCGGCUAAUUCCAAGCUCUGUUUUCUCUGGGAUGAGCCUACCGGUCGCACUCACAUGUGGCUUCACUACACUAAAUUCUCGGUUUGCCAUGGUGAUUCUCCGCACAUCGUUAUUGAGGACCAACAAAAGGUUUACAUCGAGGCCUAUUUUAUGGUCAACGUUGUAGCAUUUGAUCCAUGUUCAGAUGAAGAGAGCAGCAGCUGCGCUAGUUCUCUCUUUUUGUAAGAGUAGAUGUUGCCUUCUCAAGGGAAGAAUAUUCUGUAUUCCAUUACAGUUAUGGUAUGCUUGGAGUAAGAGUUUGGAUAUCCUUAAUUACAUGCAAUAAAACUAGAUGGAUUAAAUACAUUUUUUUGGUAAAAUUCAAAGGCAUUUUUAGAUAUUAUUCCUUCAGGGGCUGAGUUUUUCCCAUCUC